rnacentral:rRNA from 1 species
CCUACGGGUGGCAGCAGUGGGGAAUAUUGCGCAAUGGGCGAAAGCCUGACGCAGCGAAGCCGCGUGAGGGAUGAAGGUCUUAGGAUCGUAAACCUCUGUCAGCAGGGAAGAACGGUCACUGUGCUAAUCAGCAGUGAAUUGACGGUACCUGCAAAGGAAGCACAGGCUAACUCCGUGCCAGCAGCCCCGGUAAUACGGAGGGUGCGUGCGUUGAUCGGAAUUGCUUGGCUUAAAGCGGUCGUAAGGUGUAUGUCAAGGCAAGGGGUGAAUCCCCGCGCUCAACGUGGGAACUGCCUUUGAAACUGGCAACCUGGAGUGUGUGAGAGGAUAGUGGAAUGCCAGGUGUAGGAGUGAAAUCCGUAGAUAUCUGGAGGAACAGCAGUGGCGAAGGCGACUAACUGGCACAUAACUGACGCUGAUGAGCGAAAGCGUGGGUAGCAAACAGGAUUAGAUACCCGUGUAGUC